GUGGCUCAAAGGAGUAGGGCGCUGGCCCCAUAUGCCAGAGGUUGCGGGUUCAAACCCAGCC
rfam:Otolemur garnettii contig047453, whole genome shotgun sequence.